rnacentral:tRNA from 1 species
GUCCGGCUGGCUCAGUCGGUAGAAUAUGUGACUCUUGAUCUCACGGUCGUGAGUUCAAGCCCCAUGUUGGGUG